UUAGAACCGUUUCGCGUGAUUAUCUUUUAAUGCACACUGCUUAAGACGAAUACUAGAUUCCUCUGACCUUUUUUCUUUUUUUUCUUUAUUUGAAUCGAGGCAAUCGUUCGAUUGGGAAUCGUAGGGGUUAUGAGUUGAAAUUUUACUCAUUGUAAUGGAUUGGUAAUGAAUGGAGGUAAUUAGCGUUAUCGAGAACGUGAAUCAUAAUACGGAUAUUAGUGUAGAGUGAGUCUUUCAUCGUAAUAUAUUUCUAGAGCGAGUAAUGUAAUAUAGAAGAGAUUUCUUUAUACGGUGAAAUUUUUCGACUAGCCAGGAAUACCAAAAUAAUAUUACAAGAAAUUUUUAUUUAUAUAUUUUUGAAAGUUUAUAUCAUUGGACCCAAGAACUUGUCUUUUCCUUAUCAGCUACGUUACAUUAACUUCUCCAGUGCGUACUAAAUUGUAGGAAAAUUUGUAAAGAGGAAGCACCUCCUUUUCAUAUAAAUAUUUAUAAAAUUACAUAAAGAACUAUUCUUCGAAGAAACGUUCUAGUUUCUUAUAAUUAUCUUUCUUAGAGAAAGUAAUAGUUUUGGUAUGCCGAUGUAUUUUAUAGAAUAUUAACUUCCUCUGCAGAUUCUACUAUGUAGAGAAGAACUUUUGUAAGAAUACGUGCUUUAAAUAUAUCUCACGAUGAAAUUGCUACAUACCCGAGGAUUGCAGCUGAAUUAAAACAACAAAGAGUGUGCCGCGGUUGCUGAAAUGCGCAAUUACUUACGCACUUCCGGCGUCAAAUGUAUGCAGGAAGUGCUGUCGAAGAAUAGCAAAUAUUAAACACGGCGUCUGCCUCGAAGAACGGAGCAGACUGCACGUGCCUAUCCCCUCUCCUUUGCAAGCAAUAAUUGGUUUCUCCUAUCGUAUACAAUUAAGAAUUUGGUCACGUGUAUAAUGAAAGAUUCAUUAUUAAAUUACUCCUGUGGAAGAACCGUUUAGAACGUUCAAAAAUUAUCAGAGUUAUUAAUGAUGGAGAGUUUCUUCUCUUUUUUUUUUUUUUAAUUAUGAAAUAAUUCCAAAACUAUUUUGAAUAAUUGCAUAAUAAUGUUCAAGUAAUUUGCCAGAAAUAUUACGAAUGUUUCAUUAUUAAAUUAUUGCUGCGAAGAAGUUUUCGGAAGCUUGAAAAAUUCUCGAAAUUAUUAACGAUAGAAUUUUUACCUCCUUAUUAUUAAAUCGCGUAAUAAUAUCGCAAACAGUACAAUAUAAUUUUUAUGCUAAUGGUUCAUUUCGAAGUUACAGUAUUACUUCCAUUAUGAGGAUGAAACAUGCUUGUUACGUUAAAUAAGAACACAGGGGGAACUUGGUAAUUUACAGUGAAUUAUAUUUUAAAGUAACGCGAUGUACGUUUUUAAGUGGUUUAUUUCAUCAACGCGGAACAGAAUGCCUUUAAGUAAAUUCAUAUUUUAAAAAUAGCGUUAUAUCAUUUCGAACAAUCUUUUUUGUUUCAUUAACAAUUUAUUUAUAAAGAUUGCGUUUGUUAAUUGCAAUAUAAAACCGAAAUAUAUUUAUUGCGAUAAUUAGGGAUACAUAUUAUGGAAGAGAGAAUGGUAAUUUAUUGUGAAAGACGUGUUAUAAUAACGCGACGUACAUUUUUAUCAAAUAUAUUUCGUCGGCACAAGAGAAUGCCGACGACAGGACGCCUUUAUCGUAUUGGAAUUGCUAGGCCUCGGUUUGAAAACAGGAAACGGAAGCCACGACGUGCUUUCGUGGAGAUAUCGCGAGACGACCGAUCAACUCUUGAAGGGUUUUGUAGGUCACGAUACACUCCGUUGCCGACGAAUCGAUGAGUAAUCCAUUUAUUUUUACAACUGCGAAAACACCAAACUGCCCUCAUUUUUUAUAUUAUAUAUUUCUGUAAACUGUAAAUAUCGCUAAAAACUAUUACAUUCCUACUUCUCCUUUCAUUUCAACGUAUGAAUUAUUCAAAGAUAUUAAUUCGCGUGAAACUUAAUUGGACGAUAUAUCUUUAUCUUCCUAUUCUUUCCUUCUUGAUUAUCGACGUUCAGCUUGCAGAUAUAAAUAUAGAUACAAAGUUUGUUUAAUUGUAAUUAAAGCAUAUUUUUAUUAUGUAUGAACACUGCAGAUCCUAUUUACGACGAGAUCCAUCGACGGUGGAAGUUUCAAACCAUUUUCCAUUUUCAUGCUGCAAAAAUAUUCUUCGGGCUCCCAAUAAGAUAAGAUUACCCAUAUCGUCUCGCGUCAUCUCCGAAAACACCUUCGAAAAUACUUUUAGAGGCCAUUUAAAAAGCAUUUUCGCAAGCACAACGGCAAAUUGUUUCCUAUCUGUUCCAAGAGGCUGAGAGACACGGUCCCUAGUGUCCUGGCGUGUUCUCGAUAAUCGUCUGGCGUUGCACUUUUCUCUUUUUUCCCCUAUGGUGCGCGUAGCUUUAAUCUCUAUUUCGAGGCGUGCAAGCAUCGAGCUUAAAACCAUCGGCGGCGUUAACGCGCGUAUCAGCCUGGUCGAAUUAGGGUGCAGGCUGCGCGCGAGGACUUAUUUCGGGAUCGAGUGGCAGCCACUUCGUACGUAAAUACGGGUCGCCGACAGUGAAACAGUCCUCGAACGGCAUUCGACCCUUCGACUGACGUGUGGCUUCGUCAAGGAAAAAAAGUAAAAAAUAUGAAAGGGCUGGGCGAUUAAAUGGAAUUAAAGCAAUAAAGAAAAAGCCACGGCACAAUAGAAUUUGCUCCGAGCCAGCGGUUUAAACCUUUCCACCUGGUCAAGCUCGAACGACUUUUUUAAUCUUAUUUUUAUCGCCGAAUAUAGAAUUUCUCUUUUUCUCAUUUUUCUAUCUUUUAUUCGUUUUAUAUGCUCGUAUAUUUUUGUAAGUUUUAAUCUGUUCGCGUUGUGUAACUUUUCUAGAUUAUUAUUAUCAUUUCUUUAAAAUAUUUGACAAGUAGUUCGCUAAAUAGAUUCUUUUGGUUGUUAUCUUUUCCUGUGCUAAAGAAUAGGCAAGAUUUUUUGCUUGUUUAAUAUCUUUUAACUUACUAGCUAAUUUCCUUUGUUUGGUUGAAAUAAUUUCCUAGAGAGAUUUAAAACAGUGUCUUUCUGUGCGCUUCAAGUUCGGCUGGUUUUUACAGACUGGCUGUGCAUGUAGGUAAUAAGUUCGCGGGAAAAACCGCUUUGAUGCUGUAACCCGUGUCUCUACUUCGAUCGCGUUCCUUUGACUUUAUGAACUCGCGCUGCACAUACCAAGCGAGUACCGCGUUUUAAAAAGGUCUUGAAAAAUGACUUCUCUCGGUAGUACUCUCGGUAAUGCGUAAUAAAAUCAAAUAUUUUGCCCAUUAGCCGUCACGGCAAUUUAUGAAAUGAAAUAUAAAUUAGAAACUAAACAAUUUUAUUUGUUUUAUCAUCGAAUCUGUUUUUCCUACAAUAUAAGAGAGUCUAUUAAUAUAUCAAUAAGUUGUGGCUCGUAAUGUUUCGCUGAAAGUAACAGUUCAAUCGUAUAAAAAGGUUCGUAUGUCCUAAUAUCUAUAGCGUUUCUAGAACCUAACAGGGCGUUGGCAUCACUUAUGAGGGAAAUUUCAAGUCACAUAUUGUUCAGAAUAUUCAAUCGUUAAAGGCUAUCGUGGCUGAAAGUUCACGCUCAUAUGUAUCUCAUUUUAACAUUAUCACUCGAUAAUGAUAGCAUCGUUAUUCUAUUAUGAUCAUGUUAUGCAAAUAAUAAUGUUUUCAUUUUCCAUGUAACAUCGAACACAAUGCUAAUGAGGACUGUUUUAUCUCCUAUUUAUCUCUAAAAUAAGCCAUAUAUAUCGUACAUUUGUACGAAACUUUCAUUACGAUAGAGUUAUCGACAGCUGAUCUCUUUUGACGAAGUAAACUUCGUUACAUUAGCACUAAUAGAGUACAGUUCAAUCAAGUAGGUCUCCUUACAAAUGAGCAGAUAGGCUAAUCGUAGGUCUAAUCGUAGGAGAUUUGAUGAAUUAUCUGUGAAAUAAGAAACAGACAUAUUUAAGUAAAAUUUCGCUCAUAAUAGAAUUAACGAGAGCUGAUUUCUUUUAACGACAGCUUCUGAACGUUAAACAAUUUUUAAUGAGAAAUCGAUAAGAAAAAAAGGUAAUUAAAAGAGAAAAUACAAAGGAUCGUGAAAAUAGAUCGGUAAUUUCGAAGGUCAGUCGGGGUACCAAAGGACCCCUGGCUGGCAAGAAGGAAAAGGGUGGCUCGCUGUGGUGCACGCCCCGUGUUAUUGAUCGGGCUGGAGCGCACAUCGGAUUCGGAGACUCGUCGUGGUUACCCUGGAGCCUUUGGAGCCACGUCCUUUCCUCUCGUCGGCGACAAUGCCCGGGUACACGUGUCGAUCCUCAUGAAUCUAUUACCGAUUUCUGCUUGAAAUUGAAUGUGUGCAUUGAAAAUCGAACACCAAUGUCAUGCAUCUAGAAUAAUCGUUCACUCAUGAAAGAUAUGGGGAAAAAAUGGGCAACGUCCAUUCCAUCGAUUUUUAUGGUGUAUAGGGAAUUUUUUCGGCAAGAAUUGCGACUAUAGCAUUAUUUACCUUUCUUAUGAUUAGUUAGAGUGGUGAUUUCUCGUUACAAUCCAAUUCGUUGAACCUUGCUCCUGCAAAUAUUGAUUUAGUCUGUUGCUUUAUUAAUUGACCACGGCUAUGCCCCACCGCUCUUAAAAGUUAAGCCUUGUUUUGGAAAUUGACCACAGGCUUGAAUCUUAUCCUCACGAAAAAAUAAUUUACAAACUCGUAAUAUUUUCUUACUUUACUUUCUUUCUAUUCUUCCUUUCCAUAAAAUAUAAAUUAUAGUAAUUGAAAUUGAAAAGGAAGAUCUUCCCUGGUAGGAAAGUUUUACAUGCUUAAUAAUUUAUAAUUUCCACAGUGUCCACAAUUUGCAAAACGUGCAGCUCAUUGUUUUCCAAUCGACGGGAAUUAUACCUAUUAAUCCACUUGUCAUAAUCGUUAACCUAACUCGUAAUAGGAACUUGGAAACACAGUUAGCAAGUCUCAACGGUCUCAGCAUGUAAGGAUAAUUUUGUGGUAAUCGAAUAUCAGUUCUGCUCGUGAAACGGUGUCGUGCUCUGAUUAAUCGUCGACCAUCGCGAUAGAUCCGCUGUGGCUCUUGGACCAGCGUAAUUUCCGCUGUCACUUACAAAUCAUAGCAAAACUUGCAUCAUACUCGAUUAUGAAAUAAUAAAAUUAUUAUAUUAUUUAUCAUUUUAUUCUUCGCGAAUAUCGUACUCCUAUCCUGAAAAAAAUCUUUUAAGGAACGAUGGAACAAUUUGGUUACAGCGAUUCGUUCAUAAAAUAAUGAAACGCGUGUUGUUCAUUGCAGCUAGGAUGAAAAUUCGAAAUACAAAAAUCAAUUUACAUAAUUGUAAAAUUGCAAGCAGGAAACAUAAAUUAAGAUCUCAACGUGUGGUCAGUUAGUGAAACAGACUUAAAGGUCAGACAAAUUUGAGAUAUGACGGUCAGUUAAUAAAGCAAUAGAUUGAGAUUGGCCAGUACCGUACGUGCAUAAUAAGUGCACAUAUAUUGCCAGUAUACGUCAUGUAGAUAAUUCCAUUAUUUUAUUCGCACUGUGUUGGAUCUGUACAUAAUCAUAUGUAUUGUAAGAGUCUUAAACGAGUCUGAAAUACCAUAAUCCUGUUCUCAUCGGGCCUACAUAGUCUAGAAAUAAAUGUUAUAUUUCAACGAUUAUUAAUAUGUAUAAUUUUCAAAUAUUUGGUCUUUUUAACUGCUCCUACUUAAUUUUAUUACCUUUCGCAUAUUCAACGCUUAUAAAGUAUUUCAAAUAAACGAAGAAAUGCAGUUCGCGAGAAGGACAAACAAUACAAUUUUCGAAAGAUUGCAGAAAAUAAGAUUUAAAAUGCCAUUAUUCAAGAACAAACACGACAAAUUAUAAGCAAAUCGAAGGAAGAACGGUAUUAACGGUAUUUAGCAUCACGUAAUACCAGAUUUCUCGGGUCAAAGAACGCUCUUUAUCAGCCGCGUCUCUCCAGAAACAAAAGGAACUGGAGCAUCUCGAUAUUCCCUCGUUUGCAGUAUAUGGCAUGCCAGAGAGAUGAAACAUUUUUAUCUCGUCGUUGCACAUUCCGCAUCACCCAUAGCUUCUAUAUACAUGCAUAUAUAUCUUCCUCUGUUUCUCCUAUAGUAUUGCACGGACGAUCGAUCCGUGUAUUUCGAAGUAAUCAACCGUACUGGUUCACGUCAAAGACAAUCAUUCAGGUAACUGGACCGCCAGUGUGUCGUCAUUAACGAUCAGCCAAGGCUGACCUGCUGCAGGUUGUUAGAUCGCUCCAUUUUCCUCUAGGGCUCUCUAUUUUACGCCGUUUUACCGGCUGUGGUUUUGUUCGUUGGAAAAAACGAAGCGUCCCCCAUUUCUCUGGAACCGUCUCAUUCUUUCUUCCGAAGAAUGGGCUCAGCUCACGUGACCGAUGACUCGUUAGGUUUCGUUUGGUUCCCAUGCAAAUAAGAAAGCGAUGUAUCGUCUGCUGUUGUCUUCCAUCCCUAAAACACCAAUGUCACGUUGUUUUAAAAUUUUUACAUUUGGCUAUGAUUCUAGUACCUGUAACUUGUGGUUGCAUUUAUCCAUAAUUUCAGUGCCUAUAACCCAUUUACGUUUAAAUACAGUUCUGAUACUCGUAACUUUCAUGCAUCCAAUUGUAGUUGCAGAGCCUAUACAAGUAACAUUCUAAUGUCACAAAAGUAAACUCAAUUCCUCUGUUAUGCUUCAGUUGUUAGUACCUAUAACAUUUCUACGUUUAACUAGAAUUCUAGUAUCUGUAAUUCUUCAAAUCGUAUAAAUAAAAUUCUAAUCAUCCAGAGAUGAACUCACCUCCUGUGUUACAUUUUCAUUCCAUCGACGAUAUAGGUCCAUACAAACUCCUCGUAUAACCUCUUCACGAGUUAUUUAUGACGUUAUCAAUGGACCAAUCAGCGUGCGUCAACAAACUUAGGGAAAAUCCCUAGACUUUGCCCGUGUUAUUCUCAUCAUCGAUACAAGAGCAGCAUCGAACACCUUUAAUUGAUCCUGUUGGACUUCGUUCGACGUAACCUCGUUUUGCCAUUCGUCUUUGCGCGCACGGUCGGACAACGACACCGACGAAGAAGAGGGGUCGUAAGUACGAUCCCCGGUGCCGAUGUCCUGACACGAGCCACAGCCUCUAGUCGGCGAACCGUGCGCUGAUUUUGCAGUCGCAGCUGCAGGAAUAAACGGGGACACGAGCUCUUCGCUCCCCUGUUACACUCUUGGAGUCAAAACAUUCGCGAUGCGCAUAGCUGCUUCGCUUUCUGCGCCUUUCUUUCCUUCUUUCUUUUCUCGUUAUUAUGUACAGGCGUGGAACAGUCGUUUUCUUUCACUCUAACUACAAAGAGGAGAACUUUUUUGAGAAGUUGCAGAGAGUGAUUUUUAAUGACGUAGAAAGAAUGUCUAAUGAGUGAUUGCGUAUCGUUUUGAAACUCCCUGUACGCGAGUAUGAGCUACGUUAUAUGUUUGGUGAAAUAUUACGCAGAUUGGGAAAACUGAUGGAUGGCAAUCGUAUUUCAAAAAAUUUCAUUUUCGGCGGCAGGUGUGCCGAUUCCAACCAGCCAAUAUCGCAAUAAAAGUUAGAUAGUCCGGUAAGAGCUAUCCAAACAUCGUUUUAAUAACAGCAGCAUGCUGAAAAUUGAAGCUCCCAAAAUACAAAACAAUCACCGAUAAGGAAAUAUGUAGGAGAGCUCAACAGUUCGUAUGUCCACGCAUGCCAGAUGUAUUCCUUGAAAGGAGGAGAUAAGAUACGUCUAUGCAUCUUCCGUAUGACAGCCACCUGGAAUUCGUUGCACUGCGCUAUUUUUACCGGAGGCCAUUUAUUUUCUCAAGAACUUAGGGCCCACGGCGUAAGUUUAUCUACUGUGUAAACGCGGCCAAAGAUAAUUCCUUUUCGAAUAUAGCCAAUAACGAUGUUCCUAGAAUAAUUUCUGUCGUCUAGGAAAGCAUUCUGUGGAAUAUGUACAAGAAAGAGAAAAAGAAGUUGAAAAAGAAAUUUUGAGAAAGCAAAAAUUUUUAACGAUUCUGACAGUAAAAGAUGUAUACAAAAGAUUACAUAAAUUGGAAUUAAAAUAUUGUAAUAAACACUAUUGCCUUAUUGAUAGAGCUUUCAAACUGAUUUUCAUGAUAUAUAGUAUAAUCUUCACUUUUACAAUUUAAAUAUUUAUUAUAAUCUAAAUAUCGAAUGCAAAGAACUCAAUGAUACGCGUAUAUAGAUUUUUGUGACUGACUGUAUAUAUCCUCUAUUUACGGAGGAACUACAUGUAACUAUAUGUAACUACAUGUAAAGAGCCAAUAAACAUGGCAUAACAACAAGCAUGGCAUCAGCCUCUUAAUUAGAUGUCUUCCAAUAUAAUUCAUACAUCCUAUCAUAAAACUACAGUACCUAAAAAAAGGAAGAAAGGGAAGUAGCAUAAUUCAAGUAAUAAAGGAGAAGAAACUUAUUUCUUCGUUCUGAUGCGUCACAGAACGACGUGACUUUUAUCUUAGCUAAUUUUCGCAAAGAUCAACAUUUACGGAGCAAUCCAAUUACGUAAAUUUCCCGGUGCAUACAGUGGUGCUCGCACAAUAAUCUUUUCCCCUCUUUAUGUUCAUUCCCUGAAGUGGCGCAUGCAUCUUUGAAACGCUCGGUAACACUGCAACCGAAAUCUCGACGCGUCUUCCCUCUCCUGGCAGAAAGAUAAAGUAAAUUGCAAGGAUCCGACGCGACACUCCAAUUUAGAUGGAAUUCUCGAAACGUUGUAAACUCGGCCCUUUCGUUAAGGUGCAUAUACCAGGUACACGUGUGUACAUAUGCAGCGGGGGCCAUACGACCCAAGUGUUCUCGUCGGCGGUUUCAUGGAAAUGGAUCAAGCGUUUCGAUGAAUUUUCACGAGCCGCCAAGGGUUAGUGGAUUAACGCUCUCCCUGCGUUCGCAGUUGCGCAGAGGACGUGUCUGACACGAAACUGGGUUGCACUACUUCGUUCGGGACUGGCUGCAACCGCACGACCAGCUAAGGUGCUGUGUGCAUAAUGCAUCGGUGCACAGGUCGAAUCGAAACCCGUCUAACGAGCAAAGUUUCCCUUGUUAAAAAAUUAUAAAACACUUCCGGUCUUUUGUAUAAUGAAUACAUUACUUUUUUCUUUUGUUAAGUGAGGUUUCACGAAGCUGGCAUUAAUGUCGACGUCGGUAGAAUAUAGUUAACGUGAACGGUAAUCUGGCCCUUUUUAGAUUUUUCGAUUAUAGACUAAUAUUAACUUAGAACGCAAUUUCAUUUUAUAACGAAGAUAAAUAUUAAUAAACCACAGGAAGUAAAUUUAAUAUAAACUUGUAUGUUAAUGUAGAAUUUUACUACCUUUUUGGUUUAGUAGUUAGUUUUUUACCUUCUUGUUUGGUAAUUAGAUUUUUUAAUCUUUAUUUAAAAAAAACAGUAUCGUAUAUUAAAUUUAUAAAUUGCAUUUAAGAAAAAAUUGUAUUAUAGUGGAAAACAGGAUUCUGUUUGAAAAAAUAACGAAUGUAGGCAGAAAUCAAAUACUGGAAGCGUCAAAUAAAGUAGGAUUUCACGAGCACAGUAGGGAACAUUUUACGAGCCACGUAAAGGCGAAGCGUUAAUCUGUGAUCCGUUUGAAAUCGAACUAUUGAUGUACAUACCUUUUAGAACCGUGAUAUGGUCUCCCAAGGGAACCAGCAAAUGAAAGGGGCCGAAUGGAACUCGGUCGUGGAAUGUCCUAUCAAAUGACGUUUGUAAUUAAUCGGGUUACCAGGGUUGUCCAGAGCCCAGCUAUCGCUCUUAAUUCAAACCUUCUAUUGGAUCAUCGGAAUCUGUUUGUCGUGUCCGAUGCGUUCCAAACGGUAAUUAAGGCUAAUGAACUAUAUCGCAGAUUUUUUGCUAUGAAGAAAGGACAUUUAUAAUUAAAGUAAUUGGAAUUCAAGAAAUUUCUGUACUGAGAUUUUUUGUACGUCAAAGCUAGAUAAAAUAAUGGCGACCGAGUUACAGAUUUUUAUGUAAAUUUAUAUUUCUAUAAGCAGAAUUAAUGAAAUAUAAAAAUAUUGUAAUUUGGAUGUUGCGUAUACUUUUGCAAACUAAUUUUUGCCAUAAAUGUCUGACGAAUGUAGAAGUAUAAAAUAUUUGUUAAAUGUAGCAAAUUGUAUUUUUCAAAAUUGCACUGUUUGAUUUUUAUCCGCUGUAUCUUAACUAAAACUAUGACCGCAGUAUUGAUCUUUAAAUAACCUUGCAACGUUAAAAUUUACAUCUUUUCGCCAUUGUGACAAGUUCUUGUUUGUACAUCGACUGUUACAUACAGUACGUAUGCAUCCUUCGUGGAUAUGACAUGUACAUUUUAAGCUCAGAUAGAUAGUCUUAUUGACAAGUCGACCAAAGUUCUUCCACACCGGAAAUAGAGUUGUCUACGUACGUCUUCCUUCCCCUACCUCAUCACGCACCACCCCAAACUAUUCCAACUGUCGUAAUAACAUUGUAAAACUAAAGAUAGCAUUGCUGUUUCUCCCAGACUCUGUAAAAAUCCAACCAAUUUUACACUGUUUUAUACAAAUAACAUGUUGAAAAUGACAACGUGAGUUCGCGCUCGCCAUCCAUAUGCAGACGCGCUAGUUACAAUAAAUAGUAACUAGAAGAUAGUUCUAGAUAUAAUCGAUAGGUUUAAGAUGUUCUUUUGUUUUUAUCCCUAGACCAUGUAAGAAAGUGCAAUAAAGGUUUUUCAGCUCAGAA